UACGUAUGGUGCAAGCGUUAUCCGGAUUUACUGGGUGUAAAGGGAGCGCAGGCGGCACGGCAAGCCAGAUGUGAAAGCCCGCGGCCCAACCGCGGGACUGCAUUGGGAACUACCGGGCUGGAGUGCCGGAGAGGUAGGCGGAAUUCCUAGUGUAGCGGUGAAAUGCGUAGAUAUCAGGAGGAACACCAGUGGCGAAGGCGGCCUACUGGACAGUGACUGACGCUGAGGCUCGAAAGCGUGGGGAGCAAACAGG
rnacentral:rRNA from 1 species